rnacentral:rRNA from 1 species
GUAGGGAAUCUUCCGCAAUGGACGCAAGUCUGACGGAGCAACGCCGCGUGUGUGAAGAAGGUUUUCGGAUCGUAAAGCACUGUUAUUAGAGAAGAACAGCCGAUAGAGUAACUGUUAUCGGUUUGACGGUAUCUAACCAGAAAGUGACGGCUACCUACGUGCCAGCAGCCGCGGUAAUACGUAGGUCACAAGCGUUGUCCGGAUUUAUUGGGCGUAAAGGGAGCGCAGGCGGUUUGUUAAGUCUGAUGUGAAAGCCCACGGCUCAACCGUGGAACGGCAUUGGAAACUGGCAAACUUGAGUAUAGAAGAGGAAAGUGGAAUUCCAUGUGUAGCGGUGAAAUGCGUAGAUAUAUGGAGGAACACCAGUGGCGAAGGCGACUUUCUGGUCUAUAACUGACGCUGAGGCUCGAAAGCGUGGGGAGCGAACAGG